UUUUUUUCUCUUUUCUCUCGCUCUCCUCCACUUCUACCUCCGACCAUGAUUGAAGCAGAGCGUAUAUACUAUAUUGCUCAACCAUGCAUUAGAGGAUCCUCUUAAUCAACCUUUACUUUUGUUUCUGAUGGUUACUUGAUUUGUUUUCAGCUGCAUCCCUCUGUCGAUUUCAACAGCCCAUGUUCCACUUCCCAAGUCGAGGUGCUAAAAUUCAAUUGGUUUCAGAAGCAAUCAAAUGGGAACGAUGAGUGCGUUUCAAAAAAUUCAUACAAGAGACUCUUUUUUCUACGAUGCCUGGCAGGUACUUAGACUUGCAUUCUCUCUGAGUUUUCAUCAGCUUUGAUCGAUGAAUGAAGUUUGUCAAAGUUCAGUAAUUGAUUUUCAUUUCAGCAAAUCAUCAAUUGGAAUUAGAUCAGGCUUACGUUUAGGUUCAAUAAUCUGAAUCGAGUGAUGUGUGUUUAUAUGAGAAGGAAUUGAUUCAGGUGCAUUUUUGUGAGAAACUUCAUGAUUUUUCAAGAGUGAAUGCAUGCAGGAGAGAAGACUACCUUGCACAACACAAAGAUGUAAUUGAUUAUGGAGAGGCUUUUGUCAUGCGUGGUUUGAUUAAUGUAUAAGAUAUGUUAAAUUCUCUAUCUAGCCUAUUUACACAUAGAUUUAGAGAUUAAUCACAGUUUUAGUAAGUUGAAUUUAACUUUCGUUAUAAGGA